GAUGAACGCUGGCGGCGUGCCUAAUACAUGCAAGUCGAGCGAACGGACGGGAAGCUUGCUUCUCUGAUGUUAGCGGCGGACGGGUGAGUAACACGUGGAUAACCUACCUAUAAGACUGGGAUAACUUCGGGAAACCGGAGCUAAUACCGGAUAAUAUUUUGAACCGCAUGGUUCAAAAGUGAAAGACGGUCUUGCUGUCACUUAUAGAUGGAUCCGCGCUGCAUUAGCUAGUUGGUAAGGUAACGGCUUACCAAGGCAACGAUGCAUAGCCGACCUGAGAUGGUGAUCGGCCACACUGGAACUGAGACACGGUCCAGACUCCUACGGGAGGCAGCAGUAGGGAAUCUUCCGCAAUGGGCGAAAGCCUGACGGAGCAACGCCGCGUGAGUGAUGAAGGUCUUCGGAUCGUAAAACUCUGUUAUUAGGGAAGAACAUAUGUGUAAGUAACUGUGCACAUCUUGACGGUACCUAAUCAGAAAGCCACGGCUAACUACGUG
rnacentral:rRNA from 1 species